UACGUAGGAGGCAAGCGUUGUCCGGAUUUAUUGGGCGUAAAGAGCGUGUAGGCGGCCAAGCAGGUCAGCUGUGAAAACUCGAGGCUCAACCUCGAGACGUCGGUUGAAACCGCUUGGCUAGAGUCCGGAAGAGGAGAGUGGAAUUCCCGGUGUAGCGGUGAAAUGCGCAGAUAUCAGGAGGAACACCGGUGGCGAAGGCGGAUCUCUGGGCCGAUACUGACGCUGAGGAGCGAAAGCGUGGGGAGCGAACAGG
rnacentral:rRNA from 1 species